rfam:Ictidomys tridecemlineatus contig078110, whole genome shotgun sequence.
GGGGUUGUGGCUCAGCGGUAGAGCCCGCACCUAGCGCGUGCGAGGCCCUAGGUUCGAUCCUCAGCAGCACAU